UAUCUUGAUUAUUUAUAUUAUCUUUAUUUUGAAAAUAUGUCUGAGUAUUAAACUGUUUUUUAUUUCGUUGAUUAUUUUAAGGUGUAGCCUUAGCCACAACGGCUAUACCCUAGAUCCGCGCCUGUAGCCAUUACAAAAAUAAUUUGCCGUAAUGAAAAGGCAAGGAAAACUUAAUAGAAUGCAUGCAUAUGGUUUGAAGCAGAGGCAGUUGCUCCAUCUUGUUCAAAAAAAGAUGGAUGGUUAUUUUGGCCAACUUGUGUUCAUGCAAUGAAAGCUACCUAUAAUAAUUUUCUAAUCAUUGAUUCCUGCAACAAGCUUAGAUAUAAAAUAGUUAAAGUAACUGUUUUUGCAUAAUUUUGUUUUUAUUUAUUUUACUAAAUAAUUACUAAUAAAGAAGUAUGUGCAGGAUUUAAUUUCACGACUAAAGAGGACUCUGAAGAAGAAUUAAAGUUCUGGUGGAUCAAAGAUCGAGGAAUGAUUUGGUUUUAACUGGUUUGCAUCUUAUGAACGAAGUGCAUAAUAUGAUUUAAAUUGAUGAUUUAUAGUUACACCUAUUGAA